rnacentral:lncRNA from 1 species
GAUAAUCAUGGUCAUUAACAUCAUUACUCAUUAAACACUCUGUACAUAAUGGGGAUUCACACACCUCUAGGUCAAGCACUACUAUAAUCCUCAAUACAUCAUCAAAUCAUUCAUUACAUUACAUGGUCAUAAAUACUCAUUACAUCAUGUUCAUGUCCACUACUAUCUAUUACAACAUACAUGACUUAACUUCACUCUAGCCGACUUCCCGAUCUAUCCUGUACCUGCAACUCUGGGGAUAAAGGGAGUGGGGUGAGCUACUAGAGCCCAGUGAGCAGAAUAAUAAAACGUCAAUUUAAAUCAUGCUUUCAUGUAUGCG